rnacentral:lncRNA from 1 species
UGCGAGCCACCGUGUCCACCUUUCUCUCUCCCUUCUUUCCCUUUUUCCUUCCCUCCCUCUUUCCUUCCUUCCCUUCAGAGCCCUGCUUCUGAAUGGAGCAUCACUCCUUCCGUGUUCCUGCCGUUCCUGCCACCUCCUCACUCUGCAGACCAUGGAGUCAUCUCCCUGUCAAAUGUGCCUUUUCCUGCCCUCAUCUUUGUCUUCUGCCCUUGUGGAAAAGGUCUCCUGGAGCUGCCAUUAUAACCCACUUGUGUCCCUGGGCAACUUCUGAGCAGAUGAGUGGACCUGGCGCGGGUAGGGAAGGCAGCCACGGACCCCACUUUCCCCGGACCUGGAAUUAGACCCUGGAUUGAUACUUGUCUUCCACCCCAGAGACUGUUAUUCCUUGUAGGGAUGUGAUCAGCUUCAAUAUGGUCUCCUAUCAAUUUUGUCACCAAAUGGCUGGAAAGUGUUCAUCGGUUG